AGUGAACGCUGGCGGUAGGCCUAACACAUGCAAGUCGAACGGCAGCACAGUAAGAGCUUGCUCUUACGGGUGGCGAGUGGCGGACGGGUGAGGAAUACAUCGGAAUCUACUUUUUCGUGGGGGAUAACGUAGGGAAACUUACGCUAAUACCGCAUACGACCUACGGGUGAAAGCAGGGGAUCUUCGGACCUUGCGCGAUUGAAUGGGCCGAUGUCGGAUUAGCUAGUUGGCGGGGUAAAGGCCCACCAAGGCGACGAUCCGUAGCUAGUCUGAGAGGAUGACCAGCCACACUGGAACUGAGACACGGUCCAGACUCCUACGGGAGGCAGCAGUGGGGAAUAUUGGACAAUGGGCGCAAGCCUGAUCCAGCCAUACCGCGUGGGUGAAGAAGGCCUUCGGGUUGUAAAGCCCUUUUGUUGGGAAAGAAAAGCAGCAGGUUAAUACCCCGCUGUUCUGACGGUACCCAAAGAAUAAGCACCGGCUAACUUCGUG
rnacentral:rRNA from 1 species